rnacentral:lncRNA from 12 species
AAUUAAAUAAAUAUUGAUCUGUACAGGUAAUUUUUUUAUACUUCUCCUUUACUGACAGGAAUAAAAAUUGUUUAGCUACCAGAAACUAAGUUACAUUUUCCAACUCCACCAGCUGAGAAAAAUGUUCCACAAUUAAAAUCUACAGAACUUGAGUAAGAUUGCUAUGGAAACCAGAGAAGACAAAACACAGCCUUACAGAGAGGUAAGGAUGAAGAGUUUCCCUAAAAGGAAAAAGCUGAAUUUCAGAAUAUAUUCUGGAAAGAUAUCCUGGAGAGAUAUUCGCCUGGGAAAGGCUAAUAAAGCUAACCUUGGACUAAGAGGUGAGAUAAUGAAGUCAGGACUCUGAGCAUAGAGCUGCCUGCAAGGCUUUUUCUUCCUGGUGAUUAUACAUUCCUUCUGGCUACAUGGAGACAACACUGGAAAAAGGCAGAAAGUGAGGAUAGGAUUUUGGCAUUGCGUUUGGGUCUACAAAUGCUCAAUGCCAUUGCUUCAAGGGGUUGUGCUUUUGUUUCUGUGCAGUACCUCUAUUAGCCCCAAACCAAAGUCACUGCAUGGUCAGUGACAUGCCCUGUAGAGCUGAAGGGAGAGUGAAGUUUCAGCAGGGACACCUCUGCCCUUAGUCAGCUAAAACAGAACAGUGAUUGACAAAUAAUGAAUCUCAGGGCUUCUUCUCGAACCUUAGCAGACAACUGUUUAGGAAAGAACUGCGGGACUCUUUUAGGAAGCAGUUCCAGCACCAAAUGGGGGAUUAUGCCUAAAGAAUUGGAUACAGAGUGGGUAUGUAAUCUAGUUUUAUAGGCAAAAGCAAAAAAAUAGGAUUCUUGGGAAUUAUAUGUUAUAUACAGAUUAGAUUUGGUUACUCUCCAUUUUUAGAUGAAUUACUGUCUCCCCACUGCCCAAAAGAUUAAUGCAAUGCUUCAGUAUGACAUUUAAAACUUUCUUAACCUAGUUAUUAGCUUACAUUAAUUUCUAUUUCCAAUUCCCAAAUUUGGCUACUUAGCUACCCUUAUUCUCAACCUCUUCAUGCUAUCUUACACUUACUAGCUUUUGCUCAUAUGUUGUAACCCCUUUACAUAAUGAGAGAAGCAAUCUUCUAUUAGGUUUUCCUUAUGUUCCCCUAACAUAUCACAUAAUCUAUAACAUAUUAACACAUAAAUAUAUUUGUACAUUUGUCUCCUCUGGUAGGCAAAAAACUUCUAGAUGGAAGAAUGAGAUCCAACUUAUGUCUGUGUUUCUGAUGCAAUCUCUAGAUAAUAAGAACUCCAUAUAUACUACGGGGGAAAAAAUGAAUUUGGAAUGAAUAAAUGGAGUUAACAACCUGGUACA